rnacentral:rRNA from 1 species
UACAGAGGUCUCAAGCGUUGUUCGGAUUCAUUGGGCGUAAAGGGUGCGUAGGUGGCGCCAUAAGUCAGGUGUGAAAUCUCGGGGCUCAACCCCGAAACUGCACUUGAUACUGUGGUGCUCGAGUACUGGAGAGGAGACUGGAAUUUACGGUGUAGCGGUGAAAUGCGUAGAUAUCGUAAGGAAGACCAGUGGCGAAGGCGGGUCUCUGGACAGUUCCUGACGCUGAGGCACGAAGGUCAGGGGAGCAAACGGG